rnacentral:rRNA from 1 species
AUACGUAGGUGCCAAGCGUUAUCCGGAUUUACUGGGCGUAAAGGGCGCGUAGGCGGUCUUGCAAGUCAGAAGUGAAAUUCCUGAGCUCAACUCGGGCGCUGCUUCUGAAACUGCAGGACUUGAGUGCUGGAGGGGAUAGCGGAAUUCCUAGUGGAGCGGUAAAAUGCGUAGAUAUUAGGAAGAACACCGGUGGCGAAGGCGGCUUUCUGGACAGUAACUGACGUGGAGGCUCGAAAGCGUGGGGAGCAAACAGGAUUAGAUACCCUGGUAGUCCACACCGUAAACGAUGAAUACUAGGUGUAGGGGGGAUCGAGUCCCUCUGUGCCGCAGCUAACACAAUAAGUAUUCCGCCUGGGGAGUACGGCCGCAAGGUUGAAACUCAAAUGAAUUGACGGGG